CUUCCUGUUUGGUAACUAAGGGCGCCUGGCUGUUGCUAGGGCCGCGGAAUACAGACGGUUAGGCUUGGCUGCGAGCUCCAGGGAACGGUUUUGGGUGGCUUGUCUGUGAUUCCUUUGAGCCUCGUACGCCAUGUGCAGUGAGUUCUUGUCAGAGCUGCACUGGGAAGAUGGGUUCGCCAUCCCCGUGGCCAAUCAGGAGAACAAGAUCCUGGAGGAUCAGUUGGCAAAGCUCCGAGAGGAAAAAUCAAACUUGCAAGAUCAGCUUCAUGACUAUGAAGAACGAAUUAAUUCUAUGACUUCUCACCUUAAAAAUGUGAAUCAGGAAUUUUUAUUUACACAGUCUCUUUACAAAGCAAGGGAGAGUGAGAUCGAGAGCGAAGAACAUUUUAAGGCCAUUGCUGAAAGAGAGCUGGGCCGAGUCAAGAAUGAGACCCAACUGCUGGAGAAGGAGAUGGCGAUCAUCCGGGAGCGCAAGAGCCAAAUGGAAAACAAUAUAUUUAAAACUACUCAAAAGCUGGAUGACUUGAAAUGUCAGAUGAACUGGGACCAGCAAGCCUUGGAGGCCUGGCUGGAAGAAUCGGCUCACAAAGACAGUGACUCUCUGACCCUUCAGAAGUACUCUCAGCAAGACGAUAACAAAAUCAGGGCCCUGACUCUGCAGUUAGAAAAGCUGACCAUGGAGUAUAACGAGAAGAGGAAGCUUCUAGACAGUGAACUGACAGAGACGCUAAGUGCGCAGUUAGAAUUAGAUAAAGCUGCACAGGAUUUCCGGAAGAUUCACUUAGAACGGCAGGAGCUCAUUCAGCAGUGGGAGAACACCAUUGAGCAGAUGCAGAGGCGGGAUCAGGAGAUAGACAACUGUGCCCUGGCAUUAUCACGAAUAAAGCAGGAAGCAAGAGAAAAAGAAGGCGUGGUGAAAGAGAAGAUCAAGUUUCUGGAAAAUGAGGUUGAGAACAACAUAGAAUACGAGAGAAAAAUUUCUGUUGCUGAGCGGAAAGUGUCCAAGUGCAGGAUGGACUACCAGCGUCACGAAGGCAACAGAAGUCAGCUGAAGGAUGAGCUGGAUACUUUAAAAACCACUCUCAACAGAACAUCCAGUGACUUACAAGCUCUGAGGAAAAACAUUUCCAAAGUAAAGAAGGACAUCUUUGACGAAACAUUAAGAUUACAAAAACUUAAACAUCACAAUGAGGUUGUAAAACAUAAAUUAAAGAUGAUAACUGAGAAGACCCUAUCUAUUGAAGAGAAAGCUACCAACAUGGAAGACAUGCUGAAGGAGGAGGAGAAAGGCCUGAAGGAAGUGGAGGUUCAAUUGGGCAUAGUAAAAGACGUGUUAUUUAAGAAAGUCCAAGAGUUACAGAACGAGAUAGCGAAAGAGAAAGCCCUGGUAUCAGAAAUUGAAGGAACCCGUUCCUCCCUGAAACAUCUUAACAAACAGUUACACAAACUGGAUUUUGAAACCCUGAAGCAGCAGGAAAUUAUGUACAGUCAGGAUUUUUACAUUCAGCAAGUAGAACGCAGAAUGUCACGAUUAAAAGGAGAAAUUAAUUCAGAGGAAAAGCAAGCCCUUGAAGCAAAAAUCCUUGAACUUAAGAAGACAAUGGAUGAGAAAAAAUCCACACUUUCCCUUUUGGAAUCCCAGAUCAAGAAGCUCCAUAAUGACCUCUACUUCAUUAAGAAAUCAAAUGGUAAAAACAAUGAUGAGAAAGAGUCUCUCAUGAAUAAAAUAAGUGAACUGAACCUUUUUAUUGACAGAUCUGAGAAGGAACUGAGCAAAGCCAAAGCUGUGAAAGAGGUGUGAUGAAUCUGGAUACAUAGAUAUGAUGAUCGAGGACAAUCUUUUAAAGCUUCAAGUUAAACGUGCUCGAGAAUUGCUUUACAGCAAGGCAGAGGAAGUCCUUUCUCUAGAGAAAAGGAAACAGCAGCUGGGCAAAGACAUGGAAGAGAGAGCUGAAGAAAUUAAAGUGCACAAAGCCAUGCUUACCUCACAGAUCAGAUGUGUUGAACAGCAGCGAAAAACUAUGAGUUCUGAAUUUCAUGAGCGGCUAAGUAAAAUUGAUAAGCUUAAGAAUAGAUAUGAAAUUCUUACUGUUGUCAUGCUGCCUCCUGAAGGAGAAGAGGAGAAAACACAGUCCUAUUAUGUAAUAAAGGCUGCUCAAGAAAAAGAAGAACUUCAAAGGGAAGGUGAUAGCUUGGAUGCUAAGAUCAACAAAGCUGAAAAAGAAAUCUAUGCUUUGCAAAACACCUUGCAAGUACUUAACAGCUGCAACAGCAAUUAUAAGCAAUCUUUCAAAAAAGUGACUCCGUCAAGUGAUGAGUAUGCAUUAAAAAUUCAACUAGAAGAACAAAAAAGAACUGCAGAUGAGAGAUACAGAUGCAAACAAAGGCAGAUCAGAGAACUUCAAGAAGAUAUCCAGAGCAUGGAAAAUACUUUUGAAGUUAUAGGACACUUAGCAAAUAAUGCCAAAGAGAAAUUAACAGAGAAACAAACACUUGCAUUUCAACUUCGUAAGGAGACUGAGGAGCAGAAGCCGAAAUUGCAGCGAAUAACUAAGCAGUGUGGAAGACUCAGAAGAGAAAUCCGCAUUUUGAAACAAACAGAUAAUGAAACUCUAGAAGAACAGGACAUUCAGCUCCGUGAGAUCAUACAGUUUCACAAGGACAUUGACCAAAUGUUAGUUAAUGCCAUGGAAAAUGCAGAAAUUCAUGCCAUCUUUAAAACAUAUUUUGAGCAGAACGGGUUAGAACUACCUACAGCAAGAGGCCCGAGCUCGAGAUCUUCUUCCCAGUCUUCCUCCCUUUCAUCAUUCAGGUCGCUCGAGGAUGUAACUCUCCAGUCUCCCCCCACAGCUAAAGUGAUACAGCUCAGAUUCCCAGAGCCUCCUCCAGCAACAAAUGACAGUUCUAGGUCAGCUAGUAGUGGCAGUAAUUCCAACAUUCCUAAAGAAAAAAAGCUCAGCAAAUGAACAUGCUUUUUUUUAAAAAAAAAUCUUUUUAUACAUUUAGAACACAAAUGAAAAUCUUAUUAAUAGUUAAGUCUCUCUCUUUUUCUGGGGCUUCAUUUAUUAAUGAUGCAGGCUUACUAAAAUACUACCAAAAGUACAGAGCAGACAAAAGUUCUGUACAGUGGCUAUAAGAGCUGUCUGAGAAAAGAACAAAGGGAGUUUUGUGUUUGUUUUUUUCCUACUGUUUUAUUUAUAGAGAAGGAAAACUGCAGAACCUUAGCCAAGCCACAUGUGACAAAGCAGAGGGAAAUAAGCAGGUUUUUUUUUUUUUUACUAGAACAUGUCUACAGUGUUAGAUGUUUUAUGAAGUAACACAUUUAUAAGAUUCUUUCACUAAUACACUUCUAAAGAUUUAUUCUAUCUCUCAAUAAUGAAGUUUUCAUUUACUCUAGAUCACCAAACUACCUUUUAAAAUAAAAAAUAAGCGAACAACUGUAUUCUUCAGAUGUUUUUAAGGGGGUUAACAUGAGGGAGGAGCUUGGGAAAGACCAUCUUUUGUUUAUUUGUACUGUUUAUAAUGUGUAACCAAAACACAGCAUCAUUCCCACUCCCUCAGGAAAAAGUUUAGUAAGAAAGACACUGUUUAUGUAUAUGUACAUAUGCAUUUGUCUCUAUAUGUGCACAAAUAAAGUGAAACCUAAGCUGUUAAGAAUGUUUCUUCUCUGACCAUGAAAGAACUGAACAUAUUAAAUUUACACUGGAGGUAGAUAUUGCAUACUAUAUUUAAAAUUUUUUUUCCAGCUAAUACUUUAUUUCCAGCACUUUGACCUUUUUGGGAUAGCAUAUGAAAUAAUACUAUAAAGCUAGAUUUCAAAUACAUUACCAUUCAGGUAUAUAAAUCAGCAUCUCCUUUAAACCUUUGGGAAAAUCGUCAUUACAGCAGUGAUUGUCUUAGAACUCAGUUACUUCUGGAAACGCAGCACUGGUAGGAAAUCUGUUUCUACUAAUGAUCAUUUUAAAUUUAGAAACAUAGUUAAGUCUAAUAAGUAAAAAGGCUAAGAAAACUCUGGGCACUUUUUGGUUCAAACACUGCUUAAAUUAAAUUCACAACAUGUUUAGGAUCUAAAACUGAUUAAUCCCAUCAUUUUGUUUAUCAAUGUUGUGAUUCUCAGUUAUGUUUUAGUUUGUAAGUUACUUAGAACUUAAAACAUAAACUUUGUGUCCUACAAAGGCAGAGGUUUUGUUCCUAGGGAGAUUACUUUUCUAAGCCUUUUCUUUUCGUAAUCUAGAGAUAAUUAACUAUCACAGGUUUAUUAAAGGAACAUAUAAGCAAAAUACACUGGCACUAAAACAGGGUUAACUGCAUAGUAAGUAGUUAGCUUCUACCUAUGGAAUCACUACUAGAUCCUACUCUGGAAUGGCCAGCAUCCAAGUUUACAUUUAACCACUAUACUAACUGCAUGUAGUCAUGUUAAAUGGGAGGACAAAGGAUGAAUCCUGUUUUCAGAUCUGGAAUAUCUUAACAUCCAGAAGUCACAGUUCUACUCAUGGAAAUUAAGACAAAGCUGUCCAGGGAACAUGCAAACUAUGGACAUAUUAAUGUAAAAGAAACUAAUGAUGACAGAACUGAGAAUCAAUUUAAAUUCUCAAUAAUUUUUUUCUGUGACGACUCCUCAAAUAUUCCAUGGAACUAGAUGCUCAGUGUAGUCUGCUUAACUUAGAAUGUCCUACUAGGAAAGAUGUAAUUUUCAAAGUCUGAUAGCCUUCCCUACAAGGCACUAUCCUAAGGGUUAAGUAACAUGGUAUGUGUAAGAUUACAAGGUGUACUAGGGAUUCUCAAAGAUCAAGGGGUGUGCAUAGAGGUGGUUUUCACAUAACAACAACAAACCCUAGCUAUGUAGGAGUAAGUCUGGAACUAGUGAGACAUAGAAUACUCUUAAGAGUUCCUUGGUGCUGGGCUAGCAAAAUGGCCCAGUGGAUAGAGGUACUUGCUGUCAAGCCCAAUGAGCCAAGAUUCAUUCCUGGGACCCGUAAGGUGGAAAAAAUUCCUUCAAGUUGUCCCCCAAAGUCCACAUACGCUCAUCAUCCUUACCCCAGCCCCCAUGAUGAUGAUGAUGAUUUCCUUGGUGUAAAAAACAAAUGUUGAAGUGAUUAUGAAAUUUCUGCUGCCAUUAUUUAUUGUUCUUAAUCAAGGUUUCUUUUCUGUAUUGUACUGUAAAAUAACUGUUAUAUUUUACAGUAGUUUUCCAUCACUGUAAUUUGGUACAAAUACUAUGUAUCAGUAUUAAAGCAUUUUACUGGUAGAAACACA